GAGGGUGGCAACAUUUUAUUCUUUUUAACUAUUCAUACCCUUGUGUGAAAUAUGUCCAUCUGACACCUAUCUGGUAACAGGUGCUUCAGGAAAAAGGAAAGCACCUUAGGUUAAUGAGAUCCAUGAAUAAGUGGGAACAGCAAGCAAUAGCAAAUGGUGGCAGAAUGGGGGGGUGGCAGCGGAGGGGGCUGGCCCAGGCCAUCGCAGUCAGACUCGGCCCUCUUUGCCCAGCCCUCAAGUGCGUGAAGACCCCACGAGGGCAUUUUUGCUCAGCAUACCUAUGGUCCCUACUGGACCCGCGUUGCUGCCUGGUGUGCCGCCUGUGGGCUUAAAGAAACAAAGCUCCCAGGAUUGUGCAGGUGGAGUCAACUACGAGGAAGUGGCUUUUGUGCAGUGGCUGAGACGUCCAGGAUGUGCCUCUGACCAGCUGGGGCCCCGGGAGUGGCAUUGCAGUCCCAGGCCAUGUCCAAGGGCUCAAAACCAGGGCGGCUGCCGGUGUGACUCCAGGGUGAGUCCAAGUCUGAGGCAGGAGGAGACCAGUGGCUGAGCAAGAGGAUGCUUCCCUGCUCAGCUUUUUAUUCUGUUCAGCACUGCCCCCUCCGCCCCCGACUGGAUGAGCUCCUCUGGAGGGCUGCCUGGGAACCGGCCCACUGAGUCCCAUAUUAAUCUCAUCCAGAAAUACCCUGGCGACCACCCAGUGACCCGGGCGCUCGGUGGCCCAGUCAGGCUGACCUGUAAAAUUCACCGCCCCCCUGGCAGCAGCUGUCGUCAAACACAGCUCUUUAGCUGCUUGUGCCCAAGCUAUUCUCCCUUCGACGCCAGACACUGAGGGGGGGACAGCUCUUCCCUACGUGGCACCCCCAGCUUCCAUCAGCUCAGGCCGGCUCCAAGGUAUAAACAGUCAAACUCACAGGUGUGGGCCCAAUAUAAAGAAACCACGGCGUUUCUCUGAUUACACAGGUGUGUCCCCCACGGAGGACCGCGAGCACUGAGGUGGGGGCCUACUGGCCACUGCAUUCCCGGUGCUUAGUGUGCAGUUUGACGCGUAGUAGGAGCUCAGAUAAUGCGUGACCCAGGAAGGCAUGAGUCAGUGAGAGAACAGAGUCACCUGUGCCUCCCAGCUGCCGGGCUGCCUCCGCGGCCCCUGGAGCCGCCUGAAAACCAUGCUUAACCUCUGCUCAGCAUCUGAAACAAGCUUUACAUUUUCUUCAGAGUCAAGAAGCUUCGUUUGCAAAAUCCCAGCCUCCCCUGUUUUCACCGUGUUAUCCCUGCAGGGAUCCAGAAACUCCCCGACCCCAGCGCAGCCCUGGGUGGGGGGAGCCAGGAAGACGCUGCAGUCAUGGCCAUGACCGUCCUGAGGAGCCUGCGACGCUCUGGGCUUUUCCCGGAGGAUCCGAUGGAAACGUCGCAGCCGGCAAGCCUGCUGGGCUGCCAGGUCUGCCCUAAUUCUGUGAGGCGGGCUUCCAGAACGAUCUAGAGAAGGGGGAGACCCAGUCCAAGGUCAUCCCUUGCGAGCGUCUCUGCUUUCAGGGUCUCGGUUUUGCUUGUGAGGACCAGGGAUAGUCGCAGGAGUGGGGAGCUCACACCCCCUCCACUCCCCGGGGGGCGGGGCACGGGGAAACCACGCCCCCAGUUCAUCCCAGUUAGUCUUCGUUGGGUGGAGCUGAGCUCCAGCAUCAGAACUGCUUUCCCGGGGGCGCCCUGGUGGGCUAGCGGGUAGGAUCCCUGCUUUCACUGCUGCGCUCCCCCCUCCCCCCCGUUCAAUCUGGGAACUGAGAUCCCGCACCAAGUUGCUGCACCCUGUGACCAGAAAAGAGAGAAAAAAUCGCUUUCAGAUCCUUGCUUGCGCCCUUACAGGGCUGACACCAAAAUGUGGCUUCGCCAGGGGCUAGUGACCCGUGCUUCUCUCCGUCUUCAGGCUAAUUGCCAACGACAAUCGGAAGCAUCAUGGUAACAAACAGAUGGAAUAGGCUUGACCCUACGCCACGUGUGACUAUAACCUUCAUUGAAAUACUUGGUAUUUUUGAUGUUCACAAGCUGAGGGGACAGUAUGCUUGUUGUGUAAACACAGUUUCAACCAGAACAGUCAUCCUAAGAGCCCAAAGCAGGCCACCUCCCUGGGCCCUUCUGUGCGGAAAUUCCAGAGCCUCUGCUGGCCCGUGACUGUCUUCCGUAAGCCCGUUUCCUCCUCUGCUGAAACAGUAAAGGCUACCCAGUCGCUGAGUACUUUCUGUUUUCCAGGCACCGAGCUGGAUGUUUGCAUGGGAUUGCCUCACUGAACUGUCAUAGCGACAGUAUCAAGUCAGUUCUUAGCUCUCUGUGCCCCGGGCUCUCAGCUGUAAGGUGGAGAUGAUCGUGCUGCCUCUUGGAGCAGGAGUAGAGGUUGAAAGAGGCGGUGGUGUCGAGCGCUCGGCCCUGAUAGUACCAAGAAAUGGAGGUGAUGUGAUGUGAGCGAGGCUGCAGGUGAGCGGUGGAGGGAGAGGAGGAGGAGGAGAUCCUGGCUCCCGCGGGCAGAGGCUCUGGCUGCUCUUGGGCUCUCUUCAGCAACCUGAAUCGAUGCCAACCUUCCACUGGGCUCCCCUGUUGGUGUGGGGGGUGUGCCCUGCUGGCUGCUCCAAAGCUUUCCACUGGGCUUUGCAGGCUCCGCGAUAAGGCAUGUGGCACUGGAAAGAAACAGAACCUGCAGACCCUUCAGAGGCUCGGCCUUCUCCUCGGCGGACUGGGCUGCUGGGCAGAGGUGUAGGAGACCCUGGCUGCUCCUCCGUGCUGCUGUCACAUUCCCAGUAACCCUCCCCCGUCCUCCACUGGGUACCCACCUCCCAUGCUUCAGGACUCGCUUCUCUCUCUCCUCCUGCCCUGUGAAUCCCUCCAGGGCAAAACCCCUGUUCUGCUCUUGCGAUCUAGUCCAGCCAGCUCCUGACUUCUGCAGGAGCUCAGGUAAUACCUGAGGGAGGGGAAGGGAAGGUGGGAAGGCGGUGAGGGAGGCCAGAGGGGACGGAGCAGCCCCAGCCUCCUGAACAAGCUGCGCUCGGCAGCAAGCCGUUCCCCACGUUUCCCACUGUCGCCUCCUUCCUCUCCAUCGUUCCCAGUCCAUCCAUGUCACCUCCAUGUCACCUCCUCACUCCCACGUGCAUCCACAUCACCCCCUAGUGCCCCGCCCCAACACCCUUCCUCAGGGAGCCCCCAGGCAGCACACGGACACAGUCACACUCUGUCUUCUGUCCCUGCUUUGCCUACUUCCUGGCUCUUCGUCACCUGCAAUUCUUUCAGCUGCUUGCUGGUUGUCGUCUGUCCCCUGCACUAGAAUGAAGCUCCGGGAGGUACCACAGCUUCGUGUCUGAAACGGUGCCUGGCUCGUGGGAAGUGUUCAUGAGCUUCGAUGGAAUGACUAAAUGGAGGAGAAGCGGGAAGGGAGGGUCCCCCCUCCCUUUUGCCCCAUUAAAUACACUUUAAAAUGUGGCGUGUGGGGAGUUUUCCUGUGGCUCAGCAGGUUAAGGAUCCAGCAUUGUCGCUGCCGUGGGUCAGGUGGCUGCUGCGGCGUGGGUUCCAUCCCUGGCCCAGGAACUUCCACAUGCAGUGGGCGUGGCCAAAAAAAGUGGCCAUGGGCACCUCCCCAGGGGAAAAGCAAGUGUUCUUCUGCCCUCUGUGACCUGCUCCUGGUCUUCCGUGUAGACUGCGGGGUCCCAAGGCACCCGGGUGGGAAAACAGGUGAGGGAACGGGCUCUGGUCCUGAGACCGUCCCAACCCCACGGCCGUGUGCAGCCAAGGACGGGCUGAGCCUCUGGAGGGUGAGGGGACCUUCACGGACCCUAAAGCCGAGGUCAAGGUCACUUUAGGUCCACGGUGGCCAGGGAGCUGGCGGCCUGGUGAGGGCCUGGAGCUGGACCCGGGAAGCCAGGCGAGGCUGCAAGGCUGCUCCUCAUCCGCCUGCACGGUCCUCCUUUCUCCUUCAGCCUGGCACCUGCUUCCUUCCCCCUCUCAGCGCAGACUCUGCCCAGGCACCAAACGCGCUGCUUGAGAGGCUCAGAGGCCCAUCUCUCAAUUUCACGGGCAGCGUCUAAAGGGUCCAGGGUGGGUCACAUGUCUACACCUCUUCCGGUCAGCUGUGAGUGCGGUGGGGGCCACACUGUAUGGACAUGGCAGCUGGCUCAGGGUUCAGAGAAGAGGUGCGUGGCUGGGGGUCACCCCAAGAGACAUCUGCCUUGGGCAGCAGGUGUUGGGCUCCAGGCUCCAACCGUAUCUGAGAAGCAGUUUUUGUCAUUUCCUUUCACCUGUCCAGCUAUUUCCCACAAUCGCCCCACAAUCGCCCAGCACUGGAAGCUCAGGAUCUAAGAGGCUGCUCUCAGAGAUAGCUGCUGGGUCACUUGGGCACUGAACACGCGUUUCCAGUGUCAGAGGACCUAAAGCACAAUCAGCGACAGAGAAACAGUUAUCGCCCUAAGGUGGCCUUAAGCCAAAUGCUACGGAUGUCCGUGGGCGACUUUCCACCUUCCUCUUUUUGCUCCUGGGCCUGAGAAAACAAUUCCUGGAAUGUACCCACUGAGGCCAACCGCCCCAACCAAACAAGAGAGUGUAUCUUGUGUGGACCCAAAAUGCACCUUUCCGUGGGGAAUUGUGAGGCCAGCUCGCACAGCCUUCUGCUUUCUCGAUGACUCCUUCUGACUCACCCAGGUAGCUGUCUGGCUCUUUAGCCCAGGGGUAUGGGAUCCAAGAUGACAGCAGGUGAGAUCACACUUUGGGUUUUUGGAACACUUGGUAUCUUUCAACUGAUUUGCCUUUGAGCAAACUUCUCUCAUUGUGGGGAGCCUGUUCGAUGGUUCAAGGCCUGAGGAGGGGGCUAGCGACAAGGUGGCCCCAGAAGAGGAUCUGCUCUGCCCUUUAAUGUGAGGCCUUCACAACUAUGGACAGAGGCGUAUUUCCUAAUAAUGCAGAUGUGUGUCAGUCAUUGUCCUGCCUCCUUGCAAGGUUUGGGGCCAGUUCUGCCUUGUCACAUGGUACCUGCCCAGUACCUGCCCAGGUACUCCUCCAGGAAGACUUCCGUGGUUUGUGCGAAGAGUCCUGGGCUGGUGGAAGAGAGCUUUGCACGUGGAGAGGGUGCAGCCGAGAGCCACACAGAAUCCUGCGGCACAGGCGCUGGCCUCGGGACCUAGCUGAUGGCCACUGUGAGCGCAGCCCGCGAGCAUCCUCAGCACAGGUGCACAGGUCGUCUCAUCUGGGGUCCGGGGUGCGAGCACAGCCGUCUCUCUUCCUGUCCUCCAGGGCCCCUCUCUCCCCAUCCCGCGGUCUGUGGACGCCAGGAGAGGAGGGGGAGACCCCCCUUUGCAAGUCUGCAGUUAUGCGCCCGCCUCUUUCUGUCUUACACCUUUACCAGUGACUUUGGAACUUAAAAACUACAAAUUUGCCUCCUUUAUUCUCUGGUUUAAGAAUGGGACCUUCCCCCAAAGCAGUGGAGGACUCCUAGCUAGUUCUUGGCUAAGACAAAGACCCUCAGGGGGCAAGUGAAUAAAAUCAGAGAGCCCAGAACAGGAAGUAAGGAGCAGGGAUGGGUGGACAUUGGGGGGAUGUGAGAGCACAGAAAUAAUUCUUUAAAGUACUACCCCUCCCCGUGGGAGCCAGGCACUGUGUUCUGAAUACGAGGCUUGUUAUGACGGCGUUGUGUGCUCCCGUUCUCCUGGUUUCAUGAAGGCCGUAGACAGACACGCGAACCUUGAAGGGAGGACAAAGCACGAAAAAUACCAGCACCGUUCAAGAGAAAUGCAAUGUGACUCACGUAGGGAAUUUUACAUUUUUUAAAAACAAGUGAAAUGAGACAAGUGACAUUAAUUUUAAUGAUAUAGUGUGUUGAACCCCAUGUAUCUGUAAGAGCACCAUGUCAAUGUGUGAUCAAUAAAAACAUUAACAAGGA